AUUGAACGCUGGCGGAAUGCUUUACACACGCAAGUCGAACGAUGAAUCCUAGCUUGCUAGGAGGAUUAGUGGCGAACAGGUGAGUAAUAUAUCGGAACGUACCCAGUAAUGGGGGAUAACGAGUCGAAAGAUUCGCUAAUACCGCAUACAACCUGGGGGUAAAAGCAGGGGAUCGAAAGACCUUGCGUUAUUGGAGCGGCCGAUAUCGGAUUCGCGAGUUGGUGAGGUAAAGGCUCACCAAGGCGACGAUCCGUAGCUGGUCUGAGAGGACGACCAGCCACACUGGAACUGAGACACGGUCCAGACUCCUACGGGAGGCAGCAGUGGGGAAUUUUGGACAAUGGGGGCAACCCUGAUCCAGCCAUUCCGCGUGAGUGAAGAAGGCCUUCGGGUUGUAAAGCUCUUUCGCAAGGGAAGAAAACUUAGGCUCUAACAGAGCUUGAGGCUGACGUUACCUUGAUAGGAAGCACCGGCUAACUACGUGGCAGCAGCCGCGGUAACAC
rnacentral:rRNA from 1 species